rnacentral:rRNA from 1 species
AUUGAACGCUGGCGGCAUGCCUUACACAUGCAAGUCGAACGGUAACAGGUCUUCGGAUGCUGACGAGUGGCGAACGGGUGAGUAAUACAUCGGAACGUGCCUAGUAGUGGGGGAUAACUACUCGAAAGAGUGGCUAAUACCGCAUGAGAUCUACGGACGAAAGCAGGGGACCGCAAGGCCUUGCGCUCACGGAGCGGCCGAUGGCAGAUUAGGUAGUUGGUGGGAUAAAAGCUUACCAAGCCGACGAUCUGUAGCAGGUCUGAGAGGACGACCAGCCACACUGGGACUGAGACACGGCCCAGACUCCUACGGGAGGCAGCAGUGGGGAAUUUUGGACAAUGGGCGCAAGCCUGAUCCAGCCAUGCCGCGUGCAGGAUGAAGGCCUUCGGGUUGUAAACUGCUUUUGUACGGAACGAAAAGACUCCUUCUAAUAAAGGGGGUCCAUGACGGUACCGUAAGAAUAAGCACCGGCUAACUACGUGCCAGCCGCCGCGGUAACAC